CACGUAGGGACCGAGCGUUGUCCGGAUUUAUUGGGCGUAAAGAGCUCGUAGGCGGUCGCGUAAGUCGGGUGUGAAAUCUCCAGGCUCAACUUGGAGGGGCCACCCGAUACUGCACGACUCGAGUCCGGUAGGGGAGUGGGGAAUUCCUGGUGUAGCGGUGAAAUGCGCAGAUAUCAGGAGGAACACCGGUGGCGAAGGCGCCAUUCUGGGCCGGUACUGACGCUGAGGAGCGAAAGCGUGGGUAGCAAACAGG
rnacentral:rRNA from 1 species